CGCAUCUGUGCAUGCAGCAUAUCAAUAAGCGGAGGAAAAGCUUACCUACGCUUAGGAUGUUGAAGAUAUGCGCGACACGACUCUAUACAUGACUCUGCGCAUAUCAAUAAGCGGAGGAAAAGAAACUAACAAGGAUUCCCUUAGUAACGGCGAGUGAAGCGGGAAGAGCUCAAAUUUGAAAUCUUCAAGGUUUUACCUUGACGAAUUGUAGUUUAAAGAAGUGUUUUCUGCUGAAGUUUUGGUAAAAGUUCUUUGGAAUAGGACAUCAUAGAGGGUGAGAAUCCCGUAUUUGACCAUUAUUUUCAGCUGUGUGAUACACUUUCAAAGAGUCGGAUUGUUUGGGAAUGCAGUCCAAAAUGGGUGGUAAAUUUCAUCUAAAGCUAAAUAUUGGCGAGAGACCGAUAGCGAACAAGUACCGUGAGGGAAAGAUGAAAAGAACUUUGAAAAGAGAGUUAAACAGUACGUGAAAUUGUCAAAAGGGAAGCGUUUGACACCAGUGUUGUUUUCUCGAAAAUCAAUUAAAAAUGGCUCGAUUUUGUAUUGCUGAGACCUUAAAAGCUCGCUGUACAUUUUUCGUGUCUUUUUUAAUGCACUUUUCGUUUAACAAGUCAACAUCAGUUUCUUUUGUUGUAAAAGGGUCAUUGGAAGGUGGCUUUCUUUUCGGAGAAAGUGUUUAUAGCCUUUGGCCUCUGCAAUCGAAGAGACUGAGGUCUGCAGCGUAGACUCUUCGGGGUUAGAUACAUUUGUGCUAAGUUAUAGCUUUUUAUAGACAACUUGUUGACUAUAAUUAGUCUUGUAGCUUACUCGCUUAUGCUAUUUUACCUACGCUUAGGAUGUUGAAGAUAUGCGCGACACG
rnacentral:rRNA from 1 species